CGGUUGAUCCUGCCGGAGGCUAUUGCUAUCAGGGUUUGACUAAGCCAUGCGAGUCGAGAGGUGAAAGACCUCGGCAUACUGCUCAGUAACACGUGGAUAAUCUGCCCUCAGAUGAAGAAUAAUCCCGGGAAACUGGGGCUAAUGCUUCAUAGGAGACGGGUGCUGGAAUGCUCUGUCUCUGAAAGGUCCGCCGUCUGAGGAUGAGUCUGCGUCCGAUUAGGUUGUUGUUGGGGUAACGGCCCACCAAGCCUUUGAUCGGUACGGGUUGUGGGAGCAAGAGCCCGGAGAUGGAUUCUGAGACAUGAAUCCAGGCCCUACGGGGCGCAGCAGGCGCGAAAACUUUACAAUGCGAGCAAUCGUGAUAAGGAAACCCUGAGUGCCUGUCAAUGCAGGCUGUUCUGGUGUUUAGUCAGCACCAGGAGAAAGGGCGGGGCAAGACCGGUGCCAGCCGCCGCGGUAAUACCGGCUGCUCGAGUGAUAGCCACUUUUACUGGGCUUAAAGCGUUCGUAGCUUGGUCGUUAAGUCUCUGGGGAAAUCUUUUGGCUCAACCAAAAGACGUCUCAGAGAAACUGGCGACCUUGGGACCGGGAGAGGUAAGACGUACUUCGGGGGUAGGAGUGAAAUCUUGUAAUCCCCGAGGGACGACCGAUGGCGAAGGCAUCUUACCAGAACGGCUCCGACAGUGAGGGACGAAAGCUGGGGGAGCAAACCGGAUUAGAUACCCGGGUAGUCCCAGCCGUAAACGAUGUGCGUUAGGUGUGUCAGUGACCACGAGUCACUGAGGUGCCGAAAGGGAAACCGUGAAACGCACCGCCUGGGAAGUANGGUCGCAAGGCUGAAACUUAAAGGAAUUGGCGGGGGAGCAC
rnacentral:rRNA from 1 species